rnacentral:tRNA from 1 species
GGCCCGGUGGCGGAAGCUUCGACGCGAAGAGCGGUGCAACGCUCUUGAACCUGGUUCAAGUCCAGGCCGGGCCUCCA